GGCAGCAGUGGGGAAUAUUGCACAAUGGGCGAAAGCCUGAUGCAGCCAUGCCGCGUGUGUGAAGAAGGCCUUCGGGUUGUAAAGCACUUUCAGCGAGGAGGAAAGGUUACUGGCUAAUAUCCAGUAGCUGUGACGUUACUCGCAGAAGAAGCACCGGCUAACUUCGUGCCAGCAGCCGCGGUAAUACGAGGGGUGCAAGCGUUAAUCGGAAUUACUGGGCGUAAAGCGUACGCAGGCGGUUUGUUAAGCGAGAUGUGAAAGCCCCGGGCUCAACCUGGGAACUGCAUUUCGAACUGGCAAACUAGAGUCUUGUAGAGGGGGGUAGAAUUUCAGGUGUAGCGGUGAAAUGCGUAGAGAUCUGAAGGAAUACCGGUGGCGAAGGCGGCCCCCUGGACAAAGACUGACGCUCAGGUACGAAAGCGUGGGGAGCAAACAGGAUUAGAUACCCUGGUAGUCCACGCCGUAAACGAUGUCUACUCGGAGUUUGGUGUCUUGAACACUGGGCUCUCAAGCUAACGCAUUAAGUAGACCGCCUGGGGAGUACGGCCGCAAGGUUAAAACUCAAAUGAAUUGACGGGGGCCCGCACAAGCGGUGGAGCAUGUGGUUUAAUUCGAUGCAACGCGAAGAACCUUACCUACUCUUG
rnacentral:rRNA from 1 species